GUGUCAGCAGCCGCGGUAAUACGGAGGACCCGAGCGUUAUCCGGAUUCAUUGGGUUUAAAGGGUGCGCAGGCGGCCCGGUCAGUCAGCGGUGAAAUGCCCGCGCUUCACGCGGGAGCUGCCGUUGAUACUGCCGGGCUAGAAUCUCAGCGAGGCGGGCGGAAUGCGCGGUGUAGCGGUGAAAUGCAUAGAUAUCGCGCAGAACGCCGAUUGGGGAGCCAGCUCGCCAGCUGGGUAUUGACGCUGAGGCACGAAAGCGUGGGGAUCGAACAGGAUUAGAUACCCUUGUAGUCC
rnacentral:rRNA from 1 species